rnacentral:ncRNA from 1 species
CUUAUCCAGAGUGGUAGAGGGACAGGGCCCUGUGACACCCGGCAACCGGCAAUUUUUUGUAGCGGUGCCAAUUCCCCCGUCGAACGUAUGGCGGAAGAUGAG